AAUAAAAUGGCUGAGGAGUAAGCGGUAAAUUGUAAAUUUAUUAACGAGAAAAAAUCUCUUUUAUUA
rnacentral:tRNA from 1 species